AUGUAUCAAUUUGACAGACCUGGAGCAAUUAUUGUCUGCUGCUAACGUUUCAGAUGCAAGUAAAAAGUAUCCUUCCACUUUCUGUCUGACUGGCAGCCAAAAUUGAAUAUGGGGGAAAAUCA
rnacentral:snoRNA from 1 species